AGAAUUGUGAAUUGGUUUCGUGGGGUCUCUCCUUUCCUCAAUUGGGUCGCCGGAAAUUCUCGAUUCCGGGACCUGAAUCCGAUUGAUUAUGACAUAUGGCGAAGGGCCGGAAACUGACGCAGAGCCGCAGCGAACGGUUGCUCGGGACCUACAGCGGCUACAGCCACGCCCAUGACUCGCCGGAGCUCGGCGAGGACGAUGUCUGGUCGAUGGUCAACAGCGUCGACGAGAGGGAGGACCACGAAACCGAGAACUCGCAGGGCGAAUGGAGCCCACACGCCUUCCCGGAGAGCACCGUUGGUAUUCAGGCGAGGAAGGGCCGCCAUAUUGCCAGAGACGACCGCAACGUGGGCGGGCUGUCAUUGGCCUUUGACGAUUCUGGCAAGACGGCGUCGU
rnacentral:lncRNA from 1 species